rnacentral:lncRNA from 1 species
AGCCUUCUAAGAACCAGGCCACGUUGUAGGCCUCUAAAUAGGUUUGGUGCUGAAAUUAGCUAGGAGUUCAAAGUCCUCAUGACUCCAGUCUAAUUCUGCCACUUUGCUGGGCCAGUUACUCAGGCCCAAUGGCCUUUGGGAACGAAAGCCCAGUGAUUUACAACUCAAAAUUUCAUACACCAUUGCAAAAAAUGAAAGAACUACGAACUAAUCUAAGCAUGAGUACAUGUUCAUCCGGAUUUAAAAUUACAACACCAAAUUCACUACAUCAGAAAUCUUGACUUGAAUUUAUAAUAACAAACGCUUUUAUGAACUAGCAUCCUACAUUUCUGGGAUUAAACAAUGUCAUAACAAAUAAGGUUUCCGAUAAUUAAUUCAUAUCUCCUGAUGCCUUUGACUCGUACAAGUUUAAACUCUUCAUUCAACCUUCAAACUCAUGUGCUUAAAAACUUCAGUGGCUAGCAAACUCAAGCCCGAUCUCUCACAAAUUUAUUAAGUGUUCACAAUCACCAAUAACAUGAUGAUGUUAAUUCUCAAAUUGCUAACACGUAUCAUACUAAGCUAAACACAAAUCAAUCUGUUACAAUUAGAGGCAGAUUUUUGUUUUUACUCAAACACAGAAAUAUUGUCACAAAAACAUACUAGAUUUGACUUUGUGACAUCUUAUCUAAAAACAUUAAUCGCGCGAAGAGCAAUAAUGGAUCUGGACACACAUAGAUCUAUGAAGAACCAACAUGAUUUCAAUUUGAGGAAUUACAAACUACUUAAGUGUCAGCAACACGAGUCAAGGAAUGCAUUUUAAUUUCAUAACCAAAACAUGCCAUAUCAUCAUUAAACUCAAUACAUUUAGAGAUCUAUAAGAAGCACUAAGUUAAAACCUGAACAACGAGAGAGAUUUAGGACCAAAUAAAGUUUAGAAAAUUCGAAGAGGGAGCUCAGCUACGAAACCAUAGAAUCAACAGCGAAUCAACAACAAUUAAUAGAGUUUUUGAGAUGGAAUUACUCCUUUGGAACCCAACAAGUAAGGAAUAAUCGGUCACAGGUGGAAACACUCUUCAAAUCCUUUUGAAAUCCUAAGCUUUCUACUGUUUUUGGAGUCUUUGAUCUCAGAUCUCUUUUUUGAAUUUUUUUGACUUUAGAAAUUUUUGGUUUUCCGCUGUUUUUGAAUACUGCUGAAUUUUCAGAGUGAAAUGGGUCUGUGUGCGAAUUUUUUAGACUCUGAAUACAUGCCCAAAGUAUGAGGAGGAAUGCCUUAUUUAUAGAUUAUUGGUUAGGGCUCUUUUCAAAUUUCCCUUUUUGUUUUACCCCUCUUAUUUUCAGUUUUUACUCCAACAGUCCCUAAUAAUAACAAACCCUUCUACAUCUUCUUUGCAAAUUAAUCAUUUUCAACACCUUCCUCGAAGUUUCCUAAAAGAUUCUCUAAGGGUGGAAUUCCUUAAUUAUCCCGUGUCUUUCCAGUAUUUACCAAUUUUUAGAAAUUAACUUUCUUUUAACUCAAUUACUACUCUUGUUUUACCACAUAUUUCACUAAAUUUCUGGCAGUGAGCCUUAGACUAAAAGAAUAAUAGGCAAUGUCGACCUGGGCUCAAAGCCCACUGGUCUUUUGUAUUUUUGACAAGUCUGUUAAUGACCUAGCCUAAUUUCAUUUAAAUUUGAACCAAACUAACUAAGAGAGUAUUUAAACACUAACAAAAUAUAUGGAAAAUUUACAACAAAAAUAAAAAAUAAGCCAACUCAUAAACUAAUUAGCUAACACAAAAUCGAACUAACAGAAGAAUACUCUUAACUUCUAAUGCUAUUUGAUCAAUAAUUAAAAUAUGCGAUUAUUCACCUAUAAAUAAAAAAAAUGACAACACAUAAAAAAACCAUAGAAGAAGAGGAGGGAAGAGUAUACCUAUUGGAUCAAACCGAGCUGUCAAGAGAAAAUUCCGAUGAGCCAGAGGAUUGCUACACAAGCACCAACCAAAAUUUGUCACGCCGGCCAGUGCUAUAUGUAGCAAUAGCUCUUGCAUGCUGGAGGUGAUGAACGAAGAAGCUUUGAGAGGACUGGCCGGUCAACCAGAAUUUGAUCGGGCCCCGAUGGCCACGAAAUGAGACGAAACCACCACCAAUCGACAAUACUCAUCAAGAGAUGUCGAUUAGUGUGAAUUUUAACCUCAGACGUGUAAGAAUAGAAGAGGAAUCAAGAAAGACUUAAAUUCCCAGGUCUACUAAUCGUGGAGUUUGGGUGGAUUUUUACGGAAAUGGUUGAGAAAUUAGGGACGAGGAGGAGUGAGGAGUAUCUGGUGAAAAUAUUUAGCCAAUUGGUGGUGGUCCGCCGCCGUGGCGAUUUUCGGCGGCGAUCAGACGGUGGUCCUCCACGGCGUGAAGGCGGAAGGAGGACAGUGGGCGGUGAAAGCAAUUUUUGGCCGCCCAAGAGAGAUGAGAGAGAAUGGGGAUUAGGGGUGGUGUAUAAAUAUUGAAUUUUUAUCAAUCAUUUUUAUUAUAAAGGGAAAAUCAGUGAAAUGACAUAGCUAUGUUGCGAGACUACUUUGUUUAGAUGGUCUGAUGCUAAGAUUGUUUGGACCGGGUAUUGAAUUGUACUGCACGGGUAUUCUUAGUAAAACUGGGCCCAAAAUCGUGGCCCAGUCUCAUUUUGAGCUUAGUAGCCUUAUCCUCCCUUCUUCUUCAUUUUACAAUUAGCCACUAAUCAACUGACAUACCAUUUGCAAAAUUAUCCUACUAACUGAUUCUAUCUAAUGACUUACUAUAAAAAUUAUAAAUUAUCCUACUAAUUAUGUGAGUAAGUAGGUCCAAAAAUGCAGAGUUAUUAGCUAAUAUAUUUUUAUGAUUUUGUGUUUAAUAAAAACUGCAAUUAGCAGGCAUUUGAGUGCCAGCAAUGCAAUUAGAAUCUGAAAAUACGAUGAAUGAAAUAAAAAGGUAUUUUUGGUGAUUUUCUAUGAUUUAACAUGCUCUUAGUAAUACAAAUAAUGCAUACAAACUAACAAAGAAAAAAUCUUUAAAGUUUCAAGAAAAAUCAAAAUAAUUGAUAAUACUAUUUUUAGACCUUUUAGGAGCAAUUUCAGGUGAGGCAAAAAUUACGUGCUCACAGUAACCUGUACAUGCAACCUAGUUCUUCCAUAUAAUCAAUCUGGUUUGUUAAUGGUGUACCCUGUGUUGAAAAACACAAUUAGGGAUUGGUGUACCCUAUACUGAAAAAGAGAUUAGGGAGUGAUGUACCCUAUACUGAAAAAGAGACUAGGGAGUAAUGUACCCUAUAUUAGCAAUGAGAUCAGGGAAUGUUGUACCCUACAUUUAAGAUCAUUAACUAGGGAAUGAUGUACCCUAUACUGGUAAAGAGACUAGGGAGUGGUGUACGCUAUAUUAGCAAUGAGAUCACGAAAUGGUGUACCCUACAUUACAUAUAUAUACUAAACUAUACUAUAUAUACUAAACUAUACUAUAUAUAUAUAUAUAUAUAUAUAUAUAUAUAUAUACUAUACACUUAGUAUAUAUUUACUUUUUAGUAGUAACAUGAAAGGACCAAAGUAUGGUACUUCUUAGCUGGUAUAAAUAUGGAAGGAUAAAAGAUCAAGUUUUAGCUCAACUCAGUAUAUAUUAUAGUAUAGUAUAUAUAUAAGCUAUAUUUGNNNNNNNNNNNNNNNNNNNNNNNNNCUAUUUUAUAAAUAGCCAAUGGCUAUAUUUUAUUUUAUUUUAAAUUUUGUUUUUUUUUUAAAAAAUAAAAAUAAAUUAGCCGUUGGGACCGUUUGGCCCGCUAAGGGACCGGGCCGGUCCCAGACCCUGGCGGGCUAACGGUCCCGGGCCUGACGAGCUCAGAUCAUAGGACCGACCCACGAGACUGGCCCAGAACCGCUAAAAUCGGGCCAAACAGUCCUGGCCCGUUUAGCCCGUUUGGCCCGUUUGGCCCGCGGUCCCGGGCCUGGACCGGCCCACUUGCCACCCUUACCCACUGGUCUUCUGUAUUUUUGACAAGUCUGUUAAUGACCUAGCCUAAUUUCUUUUAAAUUUGAACCAAACUAACUAGGACAGUAUUUAAACACUAACAAAAUAUAUGGGAAAUUUACAACAAAAAUAAAAAAUAAGUUAACUCAUAAACUAAUUAGCUAACACAAAAUCGAACUAACAGAAGAAUACUCUUAACUUCUAAUGCUAUUUGAUCAAUAAUUAAAACAUGCGAUUAUUCACCUAUGAAUUACAAACACUGACAACACAUAAAAAAAGAAAAAACGUAGAAGAAAAGGAGGGAAGAGUAUACCUAUUGGAUUAAACCGAGCUGUCAAGAGGAAAUUCCGAUGAGCCGGAGGAUUGCUACACAAGCACCAACCAAAAUUUGUCAUGCCGGCCAGUGCUAUAUGUAGCAAUAGCUCCUGCAUGCUGGAGGUGAUGAACGAAGAAGCUUUGAGAGGACUGGCAGGUCUACCAGAAUUUGAUCGGGCCCCGAUGGCCACGAAAUGAGACGAAACCACCACCAAUCGACAAUACUCAUCAAGAGAUGUCGAUUAGUGUGAAUUUUAACCUUAGACAAGUAAGAAUUGAAGAGGAAUCAAGAAAGGGGCAAUUUCAGUUUUUCUUAAAUUCUCAGGUCUACUAAUCGUGGAGUUUGGGUGGAUUUUUGCGAAAAUGGUUGAGAAAUUAGGGACGAGGAGGAGUGAGGAGUAUCUGGUGAAAAUUUUAGCCAAUUGGCAGUGGUCCGCCGCCGUGACAAUUUUCGGCGGCGGUUAGACGGUGGUCCACCGUGGCGUGAAGGCGGAAGGAGGACAGUGGGCGGCGAAAGCAAUUUUCGGCCGCCCAAGAGAGAUGAGAGAGGAUGGGGAUUAGGGGUGGUGUAUAAAUAUUGAAUUUUUAUCAAUCAUUUUUAUUAUAAAGGGGAAAACAGUGAAAUGACAUAGUUAUGUUGCGAGACUACUCUAUUUAGAUGGUGUGAUGGCAAGAUUGUUUGGACUGGGUAUUGGAUUGGACUGGACGGGUAUUCUUAGUAAAACUGGGCCCAAAAUCGUGGCCCAGUCUCAUUUUGAGCUUAGUAGCCUUAUCCUCCCUUCUUCUUCAUUUUACAAUUAGCCACUAAUCAACUGACAUACCAUUUGCAAAAUUAUCCUACUAACUGAUUCUAUCUAAUGACUUACUAUAAAAAUUAUAAAUUAUCCUACUAAUUAUGUGAGUAAGUAGGUCCAAAAAUGCAGAGUUAUUAGCUAAUAUAUUUUUAUGAUUUUGUGUUUAAUGAAAACUGCAAUUAGCAGGCAUUUGGGUGCCAGCAAUGCAAUUAGAAUCUGAAAAUACGAUGAAUGAAAUAAAAAGGUAUUUUUGGUGAUUUUCUAUGAUUUAACAUGCUCUUAGUAAUACAAAUAAUGCAUACAAACUAACAAAGAAAAAAUCUUUAAAGUUUCAAGAAAAAUCAAAAUAAUUGAUAAUACUAUUUUAGACCUUUUAGGAGCAAUUUCAGGUGAGGCAAAAAUUACGUGCUCACAGUAACCUGUACAUGCAACCUAGUUCUUCCAUAUAAUCAAUCUGGUUUGUUAAUGGUGUACCCUGUGUUGAAAAACACAACUAGGGAUUGGUGUACCCUAUACUGAAAAAGAGACUAGGGAGUGAUGUACCCUAUAUUAGCAAUGAGAUCAGGGAAUAUUAUACCCUACAUUUAAGAUCAUUAACUAGGGAAUGAUGUACCCUAUAUUGGUAAAGAGACUAGGGAGUGGUGUACCCUAUAUAAGUAAUGAGAUCAGGGAAUGGUGUACCCUGCAUUUAAGAUCAUCAACUAGGGUGUGGUGUACCCUAUGUUGAAAAAUGUAUCUAGGGAUUGGUGUGCUCUAUACUAGCAUGAUUUUGAAUGCAGUUAAAAUAUGAGCGAAAUGUGGGAAAGAAUUUUAAGAAGACUUUCAUUUUUUACGGGUUUUUGUGUUGUAGGGCUGUUUUCAAUCUCCGCAUGAUUAUUUUCGGUUGUACCUGCUUCUUUCAAGGUUGUCUUUGCAUUGUACCUGUUUCCUGUUUCUCAACAAAGAACAUUUUUUAGUUCAGAACGGUGGUUGGUUUUGUGGCCUUGAGUGCUUCGGACUUUUAAUCUCGGCCCAUCUUUUUUUGAUGAUGAUUUCGACUAUGGCCGGUUAUUUUCGGAUUACCAAUUGCCUUCCUGGCCCUGGGGCACUUUUAGCUUUUCAAACCUUUAUCGUGAUGGUUAGUCGGGUGAGACUUAACCUUUUCAACUUUAUUUUGCCUUUAUGGGCAUUUCAAUUUGGCUUAUUUCUUCCAAAGUUCUCAAUUUCAAAGCAUCUGCCAAUCAUGGCCAGUCGGGGUUGACUUGAUGCCUUUGCCGAGGCUGGGUACCUUUUGAAUAUAUCAGCUUACUUCAAACGAGAAACCUAUAAUCUGUCACGACCCAAAAUCCCACUAGUCGUGAUAGCACCUAACCCAACCCGUUAGGUAAGCCAAUUUUUAACUAUCCAAUUCCAAUAAAAUUAAUUAAAAGAAAAUAUUUAAAACUGAUACAUCUCCUCAAGAACUGGUAGUACAAAUCAUGAGCUUCUAAGAAUAGAGUAUACAAAGCGAAAAUGAAAUAAAUACAUAGUCUAUUUGAAUAAUACAUAAACAGAGCUUUUAUAAAUCUAAGGCUACCCUGAACAAGAGGCAGCUACAAUAGAAACGCAUGUACAUCUUCAAGUCCCGCAACCAGCGAGCACAGCAACAACAACAGCCAACAUCUACACGCAAUGUGCAGAAGUAUAGUAUCAGUACAACCGACCCCAUGUACUGAGUAAGUAAUAAAUCUAGCCGUAGGUUAAAAGUAGUGACGAGCUUCCACCAAGUCGGGUACAAAAUCAAUAGUCCACAACAAUCCAUAACAACAUAAAGCAAAUAAUACCAGAGUAACUCAGAGACAAAAUGCUCAGCCGAAUCAUGAUUUCCAAAUAGUAGUUCUUUCUUUUAAAUACAUCAGUGAAAACCCAAAUCGUUUGCUGGAGUUUCCAAUAAUAUAAAUAGUUUGAAAACAAUAAAUUUCUCCCAAAAUCUUGUCAAUAAUAUAUAAGAUGUUUCAUUUUCCUUCCGGAUAACCCGUGUAAAAUAAAUGCAUCACUAUGCCCAUCUGUCAAAAAUGUGUGAGAAAUCAUGAAUGAUGUGAUGUUGUACAGCAUGAGAAAAAAUACAUCUCUAUGCUUGUAUGUCAUGUGUGCAUGCCAAUGCGAUGCAAUUCAUUGAUAAAAAUCAUAAACAACCCCUCGGGCAGAACAUCAAUCAUAUACAGCCCCUCGGGCAGACGUCACAGUCACUCGUGCCACUCGGGCAUGCCUCNNNNNNNNNNNNNNNNNNNNNNNNNNNNNNNNNNNNNNNNNNNNNNNNNNNNNNNNNNNNNNNNNNNNNNNNNNNNNNNNNNNNNNNNNNNNNNNNNNNNNNNNNNNNNNNNNNNNNNNNNNNNNNNNNNNNNNNNNNNNNNNNNNNNNNNNNNNNNNNNNNNNNNNNNNNNNNNNNNNNNNNNNNNNNNNNNNNNNNNNNNNNNNNNNNNNNNNNNNNNNNNNNNNNNNNNNNNNNNNNNNNNNNNNNNNNNNNNNNNNNNNNNNNNNNNNNNNNNNNNNNNNNNNNNNNNNNNNNNNNNNNNNNNNNNNNNNNNNNNNNNNNNNNNNNNNNNNNNNNNNNNNNNNNNNNNNNNNNNNNNNNNNNNNNNNNNNNNNNNNNNNNNNNNNNNNNNNNNNNNNNNNNNNNNNNNNNNNNNNNNNNNNNNNNNNNNNNNNNNNNNNNNNNNNNNNNNNNNNNNNAAAUUCAUGGAUUCAUGAUGUAAAUGAGUAUGGAAUCAUGAAAUAUAAUCAAUAUAGGAUAAGGAACACUUACCCCAAUGUUUUCCCGUGAAAAUCGCCCAGAUAUCGCCUAAAUCGAGCUCCAUAAACUCAAAAAUGAGUAAAAAUGGCAAGAACCCCGUUUUAUAGACCCUCAGUUGUUUCGGGCGUCACAGGUAGCGUGGGGCGCUGCCUGUGGCGCAGUUUCCAGUAUCCCAAAAUUCCCAGCGCUAGGGCUAGCGCCCAACGCUACCCUGGGCGCUCGCAGCGAUGGAAAAAUUGUUCCAGACACGAAAAUAGGCAUAACUCUCUCAUACGAUGUCCGAAUUCAAUGAUUCUUUUUGCUAUGGCUCCGUAAUUUCAAUAUGGAUCUAAUACUUCCAUAAAAACUGAAUUUGGAGCUCAUUUGCGUAAUGUGAUACCACAUAUUCUUAAAGAAUCGACAUCGAACAUUUUAGGUUCAAUGCCGAAACAUAGCAAAUCAAUCCGGAAUGAACUCAAAUUUUGCGUACAAGUCAUAAAUGGAAUAACAAAGCUGUUUCAAUUUCAAAAAUAUGAUUCCGACCUCGAUAUCAAAAAGUGAAACCCCGGUCAACCUUCCCAAAAAUUUAACUUUCGGCAUUUCAAGCCUAAUUCCACUACGGACCUCCAAAUAAGUUUUCGGACACGCUCCUAAGUCCAAAAUCACCAUGCGGAGCUAUUGGAAUCAUCAGAAUUUAAUUUCGAGGUCAUUUACACAUAAGUCGAUAUCUGGUCACUAUUUUAACUUAAGCUUUAAGCCUUUUGGAACUAAGUGUUCCAAUUCAUUCCAAAACCUCACCGGACCCGAACCAUUUUCCCCGGCAAGUCACACAACAACUUUAAAGCCCAAUUUUAGCAGUAAUGGGAGAAACAAGGUUGUAAUACUCAAAACGACCGGUCGGGUCGUUACAUAAUCGGUCUUGCAUGUCUUUUCUUUGCCUUAUUAUUGGAACAAAACUAGAUCAAAAGUGAUUCAAAAAAAAAAUUCAAUUGUACAGGUGAAUAAACAAUUGAAGAAAAGAAAGAGUUUAAAUGAGAGGUGUCCCUUUUGGGGAAAGGAAAGAAGGACUUAUCUGGGAGUACAUACGGACUUCAAUGAACAUGAUAUGCCUUUUGUACUUAAUUCCCGAUCCGUGUAAACUGUCCAACUCUUGGAAACUCAUCACAACUUUUAUCUUGAAACCGAGAAACCUUGCGCACGACUGUGUUGAUGCCAUUGUGUUGUGGAUCCUCUUUCCGAUCAGUAAUGACCUUUGCGGGUUUUCACUAGUUGACCUCUCUCAUUUUUCUUCUCACCGCCGCCUUAUAGUGCCCUUUGCAAGUUUUCACUAACAAGAAUCUCUCAUUUUAUUUUCUCUACUCACCUUCGCCUUAUGGUGCCCGUGAAGGUUUUCACUAAUAAGACUCAUAUUUUUAUUUUUCUCAUUUCUUGAUGGCAUCGAGUCCGUGACCUUUGAUUUUUUAAACAUUCCCGCAUAUUGGUCGGAAGGUCUUGAAGGGUUUUUGGUAAAAAGAACACGGGUUGAACUACAACUUUAGAACCUCUCGGCGAAAUUAUCGCUGAAAUACCGUAACUGCUACCCCAUUGUUGGUCUUUAGGGAAAUGUGAAUUUUUUGUUUGAUGUGACAGAACCCUAGAGUGAGGCUGCCUAUGUAUCAUUUCGGAAUCAGGUUGGACGUAGUCCAAUUAACAUUGAACUUUGUUCUUGAUUUUUGUUUUGUUUUGUUUUGUUCUUUUUCUUUUUUUUCUUUUUUUUCUUUUCCCUUUUUUUUUCUUCUUUUCUUUUUACAACAAGGUUCCAAAGAGGGUAAACAAAGAAAGAUAACUUUCUCAAAGGCUUGGAAAAAGAGUUACUGGUGUUUGGAUAGUGAAAAAUAAAAGCCUUCGUCAUCCUAACCAGAGAAUUAUUGCACCGAGUAAUGGGUCAAACAUAAUAAUAUUUGACUGCAUCUGCAUUGACUGUUGUCUCGGGUACAUUUCCUUUGAUGUUUUCCAGGUACAACACUCCUUUUGGCAACACUCUUGUGACAAUGUAUGGACCUUUCUAAUUUGGGGCAAAUUUUCCUUUAACUUCUUCAUUAUGUGGAAGGAUACGUUUCAGAACGAGUUUCCCCACUUCAAACUUCAUGGGUCACACUUUCUUGUUAUAGGUGUGGGCCAUUCUUUGUUGGUACAACUGCCCGUGACAGACUGAAUCCAAUCAUUUUUCAUCAAUCAAAGUCAAUUAUUUCAAUCGGGUCUUGACCCAUUCCUCAUCCUCAAUCUUGGCUUCGAUAAUGAUCCGAAGAGAGGGAAUUUUCACUUCUGCUGGUAUCACAACUUUAGUGCCAUAAACCAAUAAGUAGGGAGUAGCCCCAACUGAUGUGCGCAUGGUGUUGCGAUAUCCCAAAAGUGCAAAAGGCAGCUUUUCAUGCCACUGCCUGGAACCGUGGACCAUUUUCCUGAGAGUCUUUUUGAUAUUCUUGUUUGCGGCUUCAACGACGCCAUUGGAUUUGGGCCGAUAAGGAGUAGAAUUACGAUGCGUAAUUUUGAACUGCUCGUAUACCUCUCUCAUCAAAUGGCUAUUUAGAUUUGUGGCAUUGUCCGUAAUGAUAGUUUUUUUGGAAUACCAAAACGGCAAAUGAUGUUGGAAUGUACAAAGUCCACCACUGCUUUCUUGGUGAUAUCUUUGAAGGUAACUAUUUUGACCCAUUUUGUGAAAUAAUCAAUGACAACCAAGAUGAAUUUGUGACCAUUUGAACCUUUCGACUCGAUUGGCCCAAUAACAUCCAUGCCCCAGGUGAUAAACGACCAAGGUGCUGACAUGGGAUGCAAUGUUGAAGGUGGCGAGUGAAUCAGGUCACUAUGUAUCUAACACUGAUGACACUGAAAUAGUCCUUUUCCAUGGUCAUCUAAUAAUAACCCGCUAGUAGUAUUUUCUUUACAAGGAAGUAACCAUUCAUGUGGGGCCCACAUAUUCCUGAAUGUACUUCGUUCAUGAUCCUCUCAGCUUCUCGAGAGUCCACACAUCUCAACAAAUUUAGAUUUGGAGUUCUUUUAUAUAGGAUUUCUCCACUUAGAAAGAAACUACUGGCAAACCUUCUAAUAGUUCUCUUUCGAUCUCCGCUUGCUUGUUUCAGGUAUUCUUUCAUUUUCAAGAACCUUUUGACAUCGUGGUACCAUGGCUCACCAUCUGUUUCCAUUUUAAUUGCAUUGCAGUAACCAUGCCUUUCUCGGACUUGAAUUUCCAACAGAUCAAUAUGAUUAUUACCCGGGUAUGGGAGCACUGAAGCCAAAGUAGCUAGUGCAUCUACUAGCUCAUUGUGGAAUCGAGGAAUGUAUUUAAACUCAAUGGACUUAAACCGUAUACUGAGGUCUUCCACAUAUUGUCUCUAUGGGAUGAGUUUGAUGUCUCGAGUUUCCCAUUCACCUUGAUCUUGCCGAAUAAUCAAGUUAGAAUCUCCCAGGAUCAAUAAUUCUUGCACAUCCAGAUCAAUUGCCAUGUUCAUGCCCAUUAUGCAGGCCUUAUAUUCAGCGGUGUUAUUGGUGAAAAAGAACCGAAGAUUGGCUAUGGUUGGGAAAUGUUGACUAGCGGGCGAAAUGAGAGUUGCCUUGAUCCCUACACUUUUUGCAUUUACAGCUCCAUCAAAGAAUAUUUUCCAAGCAUUGUAGUUUUCUGAAACCACUUCAACUAAUUUACUUCCUCGUCUGGAAAGUAAGUGUUUAAAGGCUGGUAUUCAUCAUCAACCGAGCUUUCGGCCAAAUGAUCUGUCAAUGCUUGGGCUUUCAUCGCAGUGCGAGUGACAUUGACAAUGUCAAAUUCAGUGAGCAGGAUUUGCCACUUUUCUAAUCUUUCGGUCGGCAUCGGCUUUUGGAAUAUAUAUUUUAGGGGAUCCAUUCUGGUUAUGAGGUAAGUUGUAUAAGCUAGAAGGUAGUGUCUUAGCUUCUGAGCGACCCAAGUUAGGGCGCAACAUGUUCUCUCCAACAAAGUAUACUUGACCUCGUAAUUCGUGAACUUCUUGAUCCGAUAAUAGAUUGCAUGUUCUCUUUUCCCGGAUACAUCAUGUUGCCCCAGGACACAUCCGAAAGAAUUUUCCAAAACCGUCAGAUACAAGAGCAAAGGUCUUCCCGUUUCGGGUGGAAUCAACACAGGCGGAUAUGACAGAUAUUCUUUGAUUUUAUCAAAAGCCUCUUGACACUUAUUCGUCCAUUUAAUUGUUGCAUCUUUUUUCAAUAGCUUGAACAUGGGCUCGCAAGUCUUAGUGAAUUGAGAAAUGAACCUGCUAAUGUAGUUCAAUCUUCCGAGCGGAUUCAUGACCUCGUUCUUGCUUUUCGGAGGUGGCAAGUCUCGAAUGGACUUUAUCUUUGACGGAUCCAACUCAAUGCCCCUACGACUGACUAUAAAUCCCAAAAUCUAUUCAGACGGAACUCCAAAUGCACAUUUAGCUAGAUUCAGUUUCAAAUCGUACUUGCGAAGCCUUUCGAAAAACUUUCUCAAAUCUGGCACAUGGUCUUCUUGCAUUCUGAACUUGAUAAUCACAUCAUCCAUAUACACCUCGAUUUUCUGAUGCAUUAUCUCAUGCAAAAUGGCAGUCAUAGCCCUCAUAUGAGUUGCUCCUGAAAGGCAUAACCUUGUAACAGUACGUGCCCCGGGAUUUGGUAAAAAUGGUCUUUUCUUUAUCCUCUUCAUCCAUCAGAACUUUAUGAUACCCAGCAUAACAAUUCACAAAAGACUGUAUUUCAUAUUUGGCAAAGUUAUCAAUGAGGAUGUGUAUAUCUGGUAAGAGGAAGUUGUCUUUAAGACUCGCUUUGUUCAGAUCCCGAUAAUCAACACAUACUCGGGUUUUCCAAUCUUUCUUUGACACUGGUACCACGUUAACCAACCACGUGGUGUAUCGAACAACUCGGAUCACACCGACUUUCAAUUGUUUUUUGAUCAUUUCCUUUAUCUUAUCACUGAUAUCAGUUUUGAAUUUUCUUUGCUUCUAUUGGAUAGGUGGAAAAUCGGGGUGUGUAGGCAGUUUGUGUACCACCAAAUAACAUUUCGUCCUGGCAUAUUAUCAUACGACCAUGCAAACACAUCUUUGAACUCAAAUAACAAUUGGAUCAAGACAUCCCUAGUUUUCUGAUUCGUAUGGAUGCUUAUCUUUGUUUUCUUGACCUCUUAUGAGUUUCCCAAAUUAAUUGGCUCGCUUUCAUUUAAGUUCAGCUUAGGGUUAUUCUCAAAUUAUUUCAAUUCUCUGUUUAUUUCAAUAAAAGCCUCAUCUUCAUCAUAUUCUGCUUCUUGAUUCAUUAUUUUGAAGUUAGACAAUAUUUUAGAAUCUGGGCAUGAAGUCCGCAAGCAUGUCAUGUUAUUAAAGUCCUCAUUAAUAGAACUGAAAAGAAGAUAAGAAAAAUAACAAAAUCAGGAAAAAGACAAAGACAAUCAUGGACGAUGAAAUAUUAAUUUCAUUUCAUUGAAUUUGAAAGAUAGAAGGGUUUACAUCAUAAAGUAAUACAGUAAAGUAAAAAUAUUCGGAUUACGCCCUGAAAUAACCCGAAAUGUAGAAAAGAUAGCAAGACUGACUACCUGUCUGACAGGGAAUGGGGCAACAUCCUAAUUUUUGAGCUUGAAAUCAGGGCCCACAUAUUGCACCUUGGCAUGGCUUGUGCCUCCCCCAGGCUAGACCAUAUUUGACUCAUAUAGCAUCUGUUUCAGAACUCCACAAAUCUUAUUUAUUUCCUCGGCCAUGAAGGCCUCUUCCUCUUCUUCCUCAUAUUUUGGUUUGACAAAGGACCGUGAGAGAUGUGGGAUAAGCUUUGAAAGGACCCAUACUUUGUGUUCCUUGGCCCAUCUUAUGUCAGCUGACGAGGGUUGGAAACCUAGCCCGGAGGUCUUCUCAUUCGUGAUUGGAGAGAUGGCCUGAGUAAUGCCCUACAAAGAUGCCCCCAGCACCUUUCCGGGAUUGUACCCAUUUCUGAUCAUUUGAGUGACGACCAUAACUGUGGCGCUUGAUAAACAAGGCUGAGUCAGCGGGGCCCCCUUCUUCAAAUUGGUUAGCUACCAUAAUUUAAAAGGCAUGGUAGACAAUAUGUUCACUGCCUUCUCUUGCUUCAAGGUAUGUGAAUGAGGGGUCCCGAUAGAUGGAUUGCUCAUCCUCUCCAUGGACGAUAAUUUCCUGAUUGUAGUGCAAUUUUCUGAUUGUCGUGCUCAAAGUUGACCAUCUAGCAAAGCGUGGAGGGAGUAGCUCUGACAAAAUGGAUCUAGGGUCUGUCAAGGAGAAAGUUAUAAGAUGUCUCCAUGUCCAGCCCUUGAUAGGUCACCUCAAAAUCCACUGGGCCAAUAGUCAAAACCAAGUUAAUUUCACCAAUAUUGUCCCUCUUGAUUCCAUCAAAAGCUCAAACAUAGACAUUAUUGGCACGGAUCUGUUCCGUACCAAUUUCUAUUAUUUAGAGUGUUGAUAGAGGAUAAAUAUAUACUCUUGAUACACCAUCCAACAUAACCCUUUUCAUGUAAUAUCCUUCGCACUUAACAGUCAAGUGAAGGGCUGUGUUGUGUGCAAUUCUCUCUGCAGACAAUUCACUGUUGCUAAAAGAUAUUUUAUUGACUUCAAAGAAUCUUUAGGACAUCCUCUCCAGCGGUGACACAGUUGCCUCAUCUGAUAUGUAAGCCUCAUUCAGAGUCUUAAGAAAUACCUUUCGAUGUUCCUCCGAACUCAACAUCAGAGACAAGAAUGAUAUUUGAGAGGGGGUCUUUCGGAGUUGAUCGACUAUUGAGUAUUCUGGAGCUUUCAUUUUCUUGAAGAACUCUUCAGCUUCGUCAUUUCUAACGGGUUUCUUUGGAGGCAUUUGAUUAUCCCUGUUUUGCUUGGCUUUUCUCAACUUGUCCGGGCUAUAGUACCUCCCAGUCCAGGUCAUUUCAUUCACCUCUCCUUCGAUUUGUUUCCCCUUAUAGGUAACAACAAUUUUAUUGUAGUUCCAGGGGACUGCCUUAGUAUCUUUCACUUGACUCUGGGGUGCGGGUAUGAUGACCACAGGCUCCUCGACCCCCGCACCACCUGUGGUGGUCCUCUUGGUAUGUACAACUUGGGUACAUUCAUCGUAAGCUUUAUCUCAUCAACUUUCUUUGGGAUAUUGAGGAAAUGUUGUUCUGUCCCUGAUGCUUUUGGUACAUAAAGAACCAAUUUCUUUUCUGGAGCACGAUCAAUUUUGGUUUCAACGACCUGAGGGACCAAAGUUUCCUUCUUUUCAGGCUUUGUGACUGCUUUGGAUUUCAACUCAGAUGUAUCAAUGGCGAUAAUGGCUUUCAGCACUAUAUUAAACUCUAGAUCAUCACAGAUCAUCCCGAUGACUGGCCCAUUGUUAUGAGCGGUCAAUGGAUUGUUAGUUAUAUUAGGGACCUCUUCUUUCCUAAGAACUAUUGCUUUGGCCUCAAUCAAGUCAUCUAUUGCCCUUUUGAGGGUCCAACAGUCUUCUGUGUCAUGGCCCACCACCCCCGAACGUUACUCACAUCUAGCAUUGGCCUGGUAUGAACGCGAUUCAAAGUUUGGCUGAUUUGGAACCACGGGUUGUAGUAAACCCAAUCUAGUCAGCUUCUGAAAUAAACUUGAGUAUGACUCACCAAUAGGGGUGAACUGGUUUCUACUGGGGGAUCCCUCAGAUCGGGGUUGUAUUGGGGUACAUUUUGUUGAGGAUGGAAAUUAUAUAGAGCUUGGUAGGGACAGAAAUAUUUGGAGGUGGAGCUCUAUGUUGGUAGUUUUGUGGUCGUGUAUAGGGUUGCGCGUUGAUCACCGCAUAGUGAGGUGGUGCCACGACAUAUGCAACAUCCUGAUGAGGUAAAUAAUGUUGUGGGGUUCUGUGAGGCAUAUAUGUUUGGUUAAAAGAUCUUCGGGGCCCCCUCGAACUCGAAGCCAGAUUGGCUCCCUCUCCUCUCUUCUUUCUAUUUGCCAAACCCCCGAGCCAUUUUGAAUAGCCUGUGAUGUGGCUUUAAAGGCAGCCUGACUCAAGAUUCGGCCUAUUUUUAAACCAUUCUCUACCUUCUCCUCGAUCUUGGUGGCCUCAGCAAACUGCUUUCCCAUGGACGACAUCGUAUUUUGGAAAUAUUUUGGUUGUUGGUAUUGUAGAAACACCGUGAUCAUUUUGAUCUCAUCCAUCAGAGGCUUUACCCUUGUGGCCUGCUCUCUCCACUUGAUUACCUAUUCAUGGAAACUUUUCGUGGGUUUAUUCUUCAAAUUGGACAAAGAGUUUCUAUUAGGUGCAAUGUCCAUGUUGUAUUUGUAAGGCCCCAUAAACCUUCUCCUAAACCCCCGGAUUCCAUGAUGCAAAAGUAGGCGUAGAGGUUAAUAAUAGUAGAAAUUCUUCGCGUCGAGCUUGUUCGCCGCGGUUCAGACUUUUUGUAUUGUACAGUGCGAUGGGAGUUGAAGGAAAAUGUUGGGCUGAAGUACGCAUUUCUGCGCCCUAUUCCGCGGCUGCAGAACCACUCUGCGGACCACACACUGGUUGCAGAGUGGGGCCAUUAUGCGACCGCAUAAAUAUUUCGCGGGCCACAUUCUUGUCGCAUAUCCCACCUUGGGAUUUUUUGGAGGGAGGUUUUGCGGUGCACUAUGUGACCGCAGAACAAUUCUGCGGUGCAUUAUGCGACCGCAGAACAGGUGUACGGGCCGCAUAGUGAUCGCAAACCAGACCAGUUUCUUUCCAGUUCUGGCCCCCAUUUUUGCGGUUAUUUCGCGGACCGUAUAACUACUAUGCGGUCGCAUAUGCGACCGCAGAACCCGUUCCAGAGAUUCAAUUUUGGGGUUUUUAAACCCGACCCUAUUUUGUUAAAACACAUCCCUUGGACCAUUUUGAUAAUAUUUUCUGAUAUUUUUAGAGUGAGAGAGAGGGUCUUAGAGGGAGAAGUGAUCUUCAUCACAUUGCUCUUCAAUUCUCACAUAAAAUCUUGAAGAUUAUCAAGAGAGACAUCUAGGUCUUUUUCCUAAGAGGUAGAAUUCUAUCACCNNNNNNNNNNNNNNNNNNNNUGAGCUAGAAUCAUGAUCAUCUUCCUAAUUUACGUCCAACUUGUUAUAUUUCUAAAAUAAAUUGAAGUUUCUAAGAAUUCCGGAUCAUUUUAGAGUUUGAGAAAUUGAGGUAUGUUGGCUAAACUCUCCUUCUUCUUAGAAUCAAACCCCACGGUGUUUAUGUAGUUGGAGUAAGCCCUUGAUCAUUAUAGAAUUGGCGAUUUCUAAUGCGUUUGUGUUGGAGAAUGUAAGUUCAAUAUUUAUUCUAAAUGCUUCAUCAUGAUAUCUUGUUAUUUGAGGAUGCAUUCAAAAUGUGGAACAUGUGCUAGCAAUGUUAAGACUUUAUGUCAAGAUCAAAAUAAAGAUUGUUAUGCCAAAUUGUAUGAAAAGCCUCUAUGUGCCCAAGAUUUCCUAAAUUGCCCAUAUGUGAAUUUAACGUCUUGAAUGGGAAGCCUUAUUGUUGUUGAUAAUAAUAAUGUUGGGAUGUGGAAAAGAACUUGAAUUAUGAAAUACGGUCUAGCGCCAAGAAUAAAUUCAUAAUUGGGGCCACUCGUGCCAUUAUAUUGAAAGUAUGGGAAAGAAAUAUGAAUUGAGAUGACUGAUUGAAUAUGGGUGAUGUCUCAAAUGAGAUGGCUUAGCCGAUCGGGCCAAGAUCGGACUCCGUUGUAAGAACACAGUGGUAUUGUGUGCGAAAUUAUAAAUAUGGUUGAUGUCUCAAAUGAGAUGACCUAGCCGAUCGGGCCGAGAUCGGAUUCUGUGUAAGAUCACGGUGGUAUUGUGGAUGAAAUUGUGAAAAUGGUUGAUGUCUCAAAUGAGAUGGCCUAGUCGAUCGGGCCAUGAUCGAACGCCAUGCCGCACACAUGGUGGAACUGUGCUGGAAAUUAUAAUGAAAUUAAGAUGACCUAGCCGAUCGGGCCGAUAUCUGACUCCGUGUAAGAAUAUGAAGGUAUUGUGAAUUGUGAAAUAUCGGUACUAAAGACCACCCAACCUAAUAAUAUGAAAAUUGACUCAAAAAUGUAUAUGAUCCUUAACUUGUUAUUUUAAUAUUAUUUGAAGCCCUUAUUGAAUUCUUGACUGUUCCUCUUGUAUUAUUAUUCAUUCUAUUGAGUUGGUGUUUAGCUUUAUAUACUAGUGCUAUUCGACGGUACUAACGUCCUUUUUGCCGGGGGCACUGCAUCUUUAAAUGGAUGUAGGUGGUUACAUAACAGACAAUGUUGAUUACAUAUAGUGCUGCAUCCUCUUCUCAGUGGACUCGGUGAGCCCCAUUCCAUUCCGAGUUCUUGUAUUGUACCUUUUAUUCAUAUUGUGGUAACUUUUGAGAUAUAGCCGGGGCCUUGUUGCCGGCACCAUCUUUACUCUCUUUUGUAUCUUUAGAGGCUCUAUAGAUACUAUAUGGGUUGUAUAUGGGUGUUGGGAAUGUUAAACAAGUAUAUGUUGUUUUUGAUCACUUGUUCCACUCAGACUAUAAGAAUCAGUGUAUUUUGAGACUUAAAGGCGAAAUAGCUAAUGAAACAGAUUAAUGUUGUAUGUAUGAAAUUCCUUAUGUCUAAUUAAUGAAAUCACGUCUUUUUUUGAUCAUGGGUUAAUUGGGUAGAUAGUAUCUAACAGGCUUGUUCGGCCGGGUUCACUCGAUUGAGCACCGGUCGCGCUUCUCGAGAUUGGGACAUGACAAACUUGGUAUCAGAGCCUAAGGUUUUAAAGUAUCCUAGGAUGUCUCAGAGCCGUGUCUGGUAGAGUCCUUAUCUGUGUGUUGUCGACCACAUCUAUAAGUUGGAGGCUACUUGGACAUUUAGGAACAAUACCCUUAUUUGAUAUUCUGGAUCGUGCGAUGAAACUAAAUGUGCAACUGUUCCUCCUCUAACUCGUGCAUUCCUUUACUUUCAGUAUGUGGCACCUAAGAGGAGAGCAAGAACUGGCCAAGGAGCCAACACCGCAUUAGGAGUGGCAGUUGACCCUUUAUUUAAUGAUGCGGGUGAACACCCGAAAGGUGAGGAUAAUCCCCCGACUGCUACACUACCUAAUUCCACUACACCGGCCCAGGCCACACCCAGAGGCGAAGGUAGGGAUUUAAGUGUGUGGGUUCUAAAUUUUAAAAUAAAACACUGCUUUCAGCGGGAAUCGAACCCCCAUCUUUCUCAGCGAACCCACAACCCUUACCGUUGAACCAAGACCCCUUUUGUUACUGGGUUCGGCAGUAUAUAUUUCUAUAGAUUUAGUAAAUAUUUCAAUACAAAUACAAGGUUCUGAAAAAAGUCACUGGGUUCGCCCAAACCCGCACCCACUACUGUAGCUCCGCCCCUGGCCACACAAGUUCCUACACCUACUGAAGGUGCGACAGUUCCUCCACCUGAUAUUCCGAUUCCACCUCCAGCCCAACUUCCGGUUCUAGAAUUUUUGGUGGGGAUCUUCGGGGAGCUAUUUAGAUGCUGACACGGAUAGUGGAUUCUCAAGCCCAGCGAUCAAAUGUUGCACCCACUUCGUCUAGCCAACAAGGGGAUUCUACUAGUUCUACGGUGAACAGAUUUCUGUAGUUGGAUCCUCCGGUGUUCAUGGGUGCUAAUCUCGAGGAGGACCCACAGGACUUCGUUGAUGAGAUGCAUAAGACUCUCUAGGUAAUGCGCGCUACUAAGACGGAGGAAGUGGAGUUGGCCGCCUACCAUCUGAAGGGGGUGGCAUAUUCAUAGUUUGAGCUAUGGGAGGACAUUCGGGAGGAGGGAGCCCUCCAGCGAGAUGGAGUGAGUUUGUUGAUGCCUUUAUAGACCAUUUCUUGCCUGUUGAGACUAGGGCAGCCCGUGUCGCAGAGUUUGAGAAUCUUAAGCAAGGGAGUAAGAGUGUGUGGGAGUAUCACAUGGAGUUCACGCGCCUGUCAAAAUAUGCUAUUCACAUGUUGCUUAUUAUAGAGGCUAGAGUGCGCUGGUUUGUGCAGGGCCUUAGCCCCUUGGUUAUCAAUGAGGCCGCUACACCUGCCUUGAAUUCAGACAUGAACUAUGGGAAAAUGGUAGCAUUUGCUCAAGCUACAGAAGACCGUAAGUUGAAGAACAUGAGAGAGCGAGAGGGUACCAGCAAGGCCCGGUCCACGGGCAACUUUGGGGAGUCGUUUGGUGGGGGGAGAUCAACUUUCAGGGGAGGCUCAUCCAGGCCAACCCAUUCUCAUGCUCAGUCUUCAGCUAGUACACUACCAGCGGGGCACAAUCAGCAGCAUGGGAGUCUCUUCAGGCCCAAUCAGGGCAGUAGGGAACCUCACCAUCAGGGCCGACCAGGAGGGAGAUUCCCGCAACAACGGAGGCCCCCAUUCCCCUGGUGUGGGAGGAUGCACUCAGGGAUCUGCUACAUAGACUUACCUAUAUGUUACGGGUGUAGAUUGAGGGAUCAUAUUUAGAGGGAGUGUCGUUCAUCCCGCCAGGGUACGGGCAGGGGCACAACACAGCCAUCCAGUUCUGCAACUGCUACAUCUUCAGCACCCCCUCCAGCUCGAGGCACUCUAGCAUCAGCAGGGCGUGGUGAAGCUAGGGGUUCCGCGCAUAGUUCAGGAGGACCCAACCAUUUCUAUGAUAUGAGCGGUCGCUAGAAUGCAGAGGCUUCUCCAAAUGUUGUUAUAUGUAUAUUGACUGUCCAAACUCAUGAUGUAUAUGCUCUUAUUGAUCCCAGUUCCACCUUGUCCUAUGUUACCCCUUAUGUUGCUAUGGAAUUUGGGAUAGAACCGGAAUAACUCCUUGAGACGUUCUCUGUAUCUACUCCGGUUGGCGAGUCUAUUGUGGCCGCAUGAGUUUAUAAGGGUUGUGUUGUCACGGUGUGUGGUCGGGACACCGUGGCUGAUCUCAUUGAAUUGGGGAUGGUUGAUUUUGAUGUAAUUAUUGGAAUGGAUUGGCUUUAUUCAUGUUUUGCCAAGCUCGAUUGCCGAACUAGAACUGUGAGGUUUGAGUUUCCUAAUGAGCCAGUUAUUGAGUGGAAGGGGGAUAAUGUGAUACCAAAAGGUAGGUUUAUUUCUUACCUUAAGGCCACAAAGAUGAUUAACGAGGGGUGUAUUUACCAUUUAGUCCAAGUUACGGACACCACUGCUGAGGCACCUACCCUCGAGUCAGUGCCAGUUGUGAAUGAAUUUCUGGAGGUCUUUCCUGAUGAGCUCCCCGGGAUUUCGCCAGACAUGGAGAUUAAUUUUGGGAUUGAUGUGAUGCCAGGCACACAACCUAUAUCUAUUCCGCCCUAUAGGAUGGCAGCAACAGAAUUGAAGGAACAAUUGAAGGAUUCGUUAGAAAAGGGUUUCAUCUGACUGAGUGUAUCACCAUGGGGCGCACCGGUCCUCUUUGUGAGGAAGAAAGAUGGAUCAUUGAGGAUGUGCAUUGACUACCAGCAGCUCAACAAAGUCAAAAUCAAAAACAAAUACCCACUACCAAGAAUAGAUGAUUUGUUUGAUCAGUUAUAGGGUGCUAGAUACUUCUUCAAAAUUGAUUUACGAUUCGGGUACCACCAAUUGAAGAUCAGGGAGCAGGAUAUUCCCAAAACAGCUUUCAAAACCUGGUAUGGGCACUUUGAAUUUCUGGUAAUGUAUUUUGGGCUAACAAAUGCCCCAGCAGCUUUCAUGGAUCUUAUGAAUCCGGUUUUCAAGCCUUUCCCUGACUCCUUUGUGAUAGUGUUCAUUGCCGAUAUUCUUGUGUAUUCACGAGAUCAGGAGGACCAUGCCGAUCAUCUCAAGGCAUGCGGGGUAGAAAAUCUUCUCUCAAAAAGAGGCAGUUUUACAGACCCUUCAUCUACACUAAUUGUAUGCAAAGUUUUUAAAGUGCGAAUUUUGGCUCGAAUCUGUCACAUUCUUAGGUCAUGUUGUCUAUAGAGAAGGAAUCAAGGUUGAUCCUCAAAAUAUUUCAGCAGUAAAGAAUUGGCCCCGACCUACAACGCUAACUGAGAUUGGCAGAUUCUUGGGCUUAACAGGGUAUUACAGGAAGUUUGUGGAGGGGUUCUCUACUCUUGCCUCUCUGUUGACUAAAUUGACUCAGAAGGCAGUUAAGUUCCAAUGGUCCGAUGCUUGUGAAAGGAGCGUCCAGGAGUUGAAAUCGAAAUUGACUACGACACCGGUGUUAACCCUGCCAUAGGGUACAAAAUGGUUUAUGGUAUAUUGCGAUGCUUCAAGAAUUGGUCUUGGGAGUGUAUUAACGCAACACGAUAAUGUUAUAGCAUAUGCUUCUAGGCAACUCAAAAAUCAUGAAAAGAAUUAUCCAACACAUGACUUAGAACAGGCGGUGGUUGUUUUUGCAUUGCAAUUUGGCGUCACUAUUUGUAUGGGGUCCAUGUGGAGGUAUUCACGGACCACAAGAGGGUUCAAUAUAUUUUCAAACAAAAGGAGAUGAAUCUGAGGCAAAGAAGAUGGCUUGCGUUACUCAAGGAUUACGACAUCGAUAUUCUAUAUCACCCAGGGAAAGCCAAUGUUGUGGCAGAUACUCUUAGCCAGAAAUCUAUGGGUAGUUUGGCUCACUUGGAGGUAUAUCAAAGGCCAUUGUCCAAGGAAGUCCAUCGAUUGGCUAGUUUGGGAGUUCGUCUUACGGACUCUAGUGAAGGAGGGAUAAUUGUGCAAAAUAGGGUUGAAUCAUCACUUGUUGUGCAAGUCAAAGAGAAACAAUACAACGAUCCAUUUUUGGUGCAAUUGAAGGAGGGGAUUCAAAAACAUAAGACUACGGCUUUUGCUCUUGGGAUGGAUGAUGGUACACUAAGGUACCAAGGGUGACUAUGUGUUUCGGAUGUAGAUGGUCUCCGGGAAAGAUUCAUGACUGAGGCUCACGCUUCUAGGUAUUCUGUACAUCUAAGUUCUACAAAGAUGUAUCAUGACCUCAAGGAAACCUAUUGGUGGAAUGACAUGAAAAGGAAUGUGGCAGACUUUGUGACAAGGUGUCCGAAUUGUCAGCAAGUGAAGGCCGAACAUCAACGGCCUAGUGGGUUGGCACAUAACAUAGAAAUUCCAAUGUGGAAGUGGGAGAUGAUUAAUAUGGAUUUUGUGGUAGGAUUACAGUGCACUCUGUGCAAGUUUGACUCAAUUUGGGUGAUCGUGAACCGACUCACAAAAUCAGCACACUUCUUGCCUGUUAAAUCUACCAACACAGCGGAACAAUAUGCUCAGUUGUAUAUCAAGGAAAUAGUCAGACUACAUGGCACUCCAGUUUCUAUCAUAUCCGAUCGAGGGGCUCAGUUCACGGCCAAUUUUUGGAAGACAUUUCAGCAAGGUCUGGGUACUCAGGUGAAUCUUAGUACAUCCUUCCAUCCAUAGACCGAUGGGCAAGCAGAGCAGAUUAUUCAGACGCUUGAGGACAUGUUGCGUGCUUGUGUUCUUGAUUUUAAGGGUGGCUAGGAUGAUCAUUUUCCACUCAUAGAGUUUGCUUAUAACAACAACUUUCAUGCAAGUAUUCAGAUUGCACCAUUUGAGGCAUUAUAUUGUAGGAGAUGUAGAUCUCCCAUUUGGUGGUUCGAGAUUGGGAAAGCAGAGUUGAUAGGGCCAAACCUUGUACAUCAGGCUAUGGAAAAAGCUAAGAUCAUAAAGGAACGGUUGAAAACUGUCCAGAAUCGUGAAAAAUGCUAUUCGGAUGUUUGUCGCAAAGACUUAGAGUUCAAAGAAGAUGAUUGGGUAUUCUUGAAGGUUUCCCCCAUGAAGGGUACUAUGCGGUUUGGGAAAAAAGGGAAAUUGUAUCCGAGGUAUGUCGGGCCAUUCGAAAUCACUCAGAGAAUUGGCCAGGUGGCGUACAAGCUUGAGCUACCAUGUGUCUAUGUUGAAGAAGGUAGUUGGAGAUCCGUCAGCUAUUGUGCCGGUUGAGACCAUUGAGGUUAAUGAAGAAUUAUCAUAUGAAUAAAUUCUAGUUGCCAUUCUUGAUAGGCAAGUCCGAAAGUUGAUGAAUAAAGAAAUUGCCUCCGUGAAGGUGUUAUGGCGAAACCAAGAGGUUGAAGAUGCCAGUUGGGAGGCCGAGGAAGAGAUGAAGAAGAAGUAUCCUUACUUAUUUGAAUAGUUGUGUAAUCCUUUUAUGAACUUGUCGCCUAUGAAUUUUGUAUCAUUUGUUCAGUUAAUGUAAAGGUGUUACUUUUGAUUAUAUGUUGUUUAAAUGAGGCCACGGUUGGUGUUGUUAUGAGUUAUGCUACAUUGUUGGAUUCUGUACAUGUUGUUAGGAUGUCAUUCUGGGGCUCUCUGACAGGUGGAUAGGCCUAGUUACAAAGGAAACUAUAGCGAAAGUUUUGGAAAUUUGAGGAGUUAGUUAAAUUUGGGACUGCUGGUGUGAGGUAUGGAAAACUGAGUUGUACAAGGUACUAAUAAUGGACCCGAAACCACUCAGCGGACCGCAGACUGGUCUCAGAGUGGAGCAGAUUUCUGGGGAAUUUUUGAUGUCCAAUUUCACGGCCAUUAUGCGACCGCAUAAACGUUUCACGGGCCGCAUUCCUGUCGCAUAUCCCACCUUGGGAUUUUUCAGAGGGAGGUUCUGCGGUGCACUAUGCGACCGCAGAACCAUUAUGCGGUGCAUUAUGCGACUACAGAACAAGACUGCGGGCCGCAUAGUGAUCACAAACCAGACCAGUUUCUUUUCAGUGCUGGCCCCCAUUUUUGCGGUUAUUUUGCGGACAGCAUAACCACUAUGCGGUCGCAUAUGCGACCUCAUAACCCAUUCCAGAGCUUUAAUUUUGGGGUUUUUAAACCCGACCCUAUUUCGUUAAAACAUCUCCCAUGGACCAUUUUGAUCAUAUUUUCUGAUAUUUUUAGAAUGAGAGAGAGGGUUCUAGAGGGAGAAGUGAUCUUCAUCACAUUUAUCUUCAAUUCUCACUUAAAAUCUUGAAGAUUAUCAAAAGAGGCAUCUAGGUCUUCUUCCUAAGAGGUACGAUUCUAUCACCCAAAUUCUUAAUUUCAAAAUAUAACUAGAAUGGGCCAUUAGUAAGGUAAUUCAUGGGGAUGGGAGUGCUUACCUUGCAUGCAUGUAUCCUUGUAGUAUGUGGGAAGAUUGUGAGCUAAAAAUGAUAGAGACUGGGUUGGGGAAUGAUGAAAUCUUCCACAAAAAGGGCCUUAAAACAUUGAUGCAUACCUAGUAUUUUAUAAUAUACUCAAAUGAGCUAGAAUCAUGACCAUCUUCCUAAUUUUGAUCCAACUUGUUAUAUUUCUAAAAUAGAUUAAAGUUUCUAAGAAUUCCGGAUUAUUUUAGAGUUUGAGAAGAUCAAUUGAGGUAUGUUGGCUAAACCCCCCUUCUUCUUAGAAUCGAACCCUACAUGUUCAUGUAGUUGUAGUAAGCCCUUGAUCAUUAUAGAAUUGGCGAUUUCUAAUGUGUUUGUGUUGGAGAAUAUAAGUUCAAUAUUUAUUCUAAAUGCUUCAUCAUGAUAUCUUGUUAUUUGAGGAUGCGUUCAAAAUGUGAAAUAUGUGAUAGCAAUGUUAAGACUUCAUGUCAAAAUCAAAAUAAAGGUUGUUAUGCCAAAUUGUAUGAAAAGCCUCUAUGUGACUAAGAUUUCCUAAAUUGCUCAUAUGUGAAUUUAACGUCUUGAAUGGGAAGCCUUAUUGUUGUUGAUGAUAAUAAUAUUGGGAUGUGGAAAAAAACUUGAAUUAUGAAAUACGGCCUAGCGCCAAGAAUAACUUUAUAAUUAGGGCCAUUCAUGCCAUUAUAUUUAAAGUAAGGGAAAGAAAUAUGAAUUGAGAUGACUGAUUGAAUAUGGGUGAUGUCUCAAAUGAGAUGGCCUAGCCAAUCGGGACGAGAUCGGACUCCGUGUAAGAACACGGUGGUAUUGUGUGCAAAAUUGUGAAUAUGGUUGAUGUCUCAAACGAGAUGGCUUAGCCGAUCGGGCUGAGAUUGGACUCCGUGUAAGAACAUGGUGGUAUUAUGGAUGAAAUUAUGAAAAUGGUUGAUGUCUCAAAUGAGAUGGCCUAGUCGAUCGGGCCGUGAUCGAACGCCAUGCCGCAUACAUGAUGGCACUGUGUUAGAAAUUAUAAUGAAAUUGUGGUAAUGUCUCAAAUGAGAUGGCCUAGUUGAUCGGGCCGAGAUCGGACUCCGUGUAAGAAUACAGAGGUAUUGUGAAUUGUGAAAUAUCGGUACUAAAGACCACCCAACCUAAUAAUAUGGAAAUUGACUCAAAAACGUAUAUGAUCCUUAACAUGUUGUUUUAAUAUUAUUUGAAGCCCUUAUUGAAUUCUUGGCUGUUCCUCUUGUAUUAUUAUUCAUUCUAUUGAGUUGGUAUUUAGCUUUACAUACUAGUUCUAUUCGACAGUACUAACGUCCCUUUUGCCGGGGGUGCUGCAUCUUUAAAUGGAUGCAAGUGGUUACAUAGCAGACAAUGUUGAUCACAGAUAGUGCUGCAUCCUCUUCUCAGCAGACUCGGUGAGCCCCUUUUCAUUCCGUGGCCUUGCAUUGUACCUUUUAUUCAUAUUAUGGUCACUUUUGAGGUAUAGCUGGGGCCUUAUUGACGGCACCAUCUUUACUCUCUUUUGUAUCUUUAGAGGCUCCGUAGACACUAUGUGGGUUGUAUAUGGGUGUUGGGAAUGUUAAACUAGUAUAUGUUGUGUUUGAUCACUUGUUCCACUUAGACUAUAAGAAUCGGUGUAUUUUGAGACUUAAAGGCGAAAUAGUUAAUAAAAUGAAUUAAUGUUGUGUGUAUGAACUUCCUUCUGUCUAAUUAAUGAAAUCACGUCUUUUCUUGAUCAUGGGUUAAUUGGGUAGAUAGUAUCUAACAGGCUUGCUCGGCCGGGUUCACUCGGUUGAGUGCCAGUCGUGCUUCCCGAUAUUGGGGCGUGACAGUAUUAGAACUGACAGAUGAAAUCCCGGGCUAGAUCAUCCCAUACGUGACAAUGGGCAAUUUUCUGAUCCAUAUACUUUUUAGACGCCAUUCAUGUGAGGCUUUCUCCGAAGUAGGCCAUUAGUAACUUUUCCUUCCUACCAACACCCCUCAGCUGGUAGCAGUAUCAUUUCAAGUGGGCUAUCGGGUCUUCGUGCCCAUCAUACUUUUCAAAUUUAGGGGUCUUAAAGCCAGCUGACAAAUGUACAUGUGGGAACAAGCAUAGAUCAGAAUAAGAGACACUCUUUUGGCCGCUCAAGCCUUGCAUAUUUUUUAAGCUUUGCUCUAGACUCUUCAUCUUUCGAGCCAUUUCUUCCUGCUCAGGAUUUUUAACAACUUUCUCUUGCUCAACAGUAAAGUCAUAUUGAGGAGGUUGGGUGAAUGAAUCUGAGGUGACAUAUGUGACUUCUGGUGGAAAGUGUGGACCUUGGAAAGUGAGGGUUUGAGGCUCGGUGUACGGCCUGGGUAUGUUUGGUUGUUAUGUAGUGAAAACGUGUGCUAUAGAUAAAACUACCGGUGGUACCCUUGAAACCGGUGCAUGGGGACGAAUCACAGAAGGCAUUCUUCAAAUAUUAUUUGGCAUGGAAGGGUACCCGUACAGAAUAAACGGGUUCGUCAUAGGGAUAUUAGUGGCCCCGGCCGUUCUGGAAAUCCAGGUAUGGCACUUGGAAGUUCUUUCCCAUUAGUCCAUGCAUCCAACAUCUCCAUCAUACGUAGGCGCAACAUUCAGUUUUCCUUGGCCACAACUGACUCUAGCGGAAUAGCUGGUGCUAGGCUAUCCUCAGGAUUGACGAUUGAUAGAGUACUCUCAGAAGCCAUUGGAACCUUUCUUUUGAGCGGGUAAAGUACGGAUGGGAAGCCAAAAUACCACAAAACCAACCACCUUAAAAUGGAACCUGACUUUGAGCACACACAACAAACUUGUUAGUUCAGAGCAUUUAACAGAUAGAAAAUUGCAUGUUGGGAUAUAAUGCACCUAGCAGUUAAAAUGCUUCUAUCGUGUUUGAACGGUUGCAUGUUUCAUCUCGGCCCUUAUUGCCUCAUUUACUCUCCAACUCUUUUCGUUCACUUCAAGCUCUUUUUUCUUGUUUCAUCACUCUUUGUUUUUCUUCUUUUUGUUUGCUUUUCACUCGGUUUAUUUAUGGUUUUGAUCGCAUCCGAUGAGGAUUGCCUACGUAUCAUGACGCUGUAUGAAUCAGACCAUUACAUAAUUCAGGGAGAUAAAUGUAAAAUAAAAAUAGAGAAUUUUUGGAUUUUUAAUAUUUCAUUAAAUAAAAUAUUUGUGUGUUUUUCAUUACAAAGACUCAAAACGACAUUAACUGACUCCGAAAAGGAACAUACAAACUCAAAAAUGAAAGAUAAUCAACAGACUCGAAACAAACAAUAAACAACAGACUCGAAAUGGACAAAACAACAGACUCGUGAUAGGAAAGUAAACUACAUACUCGAUAAUAAAAACAACUGAUACAAUUGGAAGACCAACUCUGAAAGAGCCUCUAGAUCAAGCAUAACCUGGCGGGCAAAAGUCAACACCGUGGCAAAGAACAUGGCCUUGGUCAUCUGUUCACAGUCAUUGCAUUUGUUGGCGGUAUAGUCAGCUAUUUCCCGCAUCCUAAACUUUGUGAUUGUAUGAUCUUGGUGCAUUAGUCUAAUCUGCUCAUCCCGGGCUUCUACCAACAGCUGGGCCUAAUUAAAUGUAGGAAAGAGUCUAAGAGCCUAAACCGGUCAAAAUACCCUAUACAACCUCGGGUACACACCCGUCACCUCAUGUACACGUCUUUCACAUAAUAAAAACAAUAAAAAUCAACCCAAGUCCUAAGGGGUAGUUCCACCACACAAAGUUAGACAAGAUACUUACCUCAAACAAGCUAAAUCAACCCGCUAGUAAGCCUUUCCCGUGAAAAUCCAACUCCGGAUGGCUCGAAUCUAGCCAAAAUAACUUAAUACUAUAAAUACAAACCAUAGAAAACGAUUCCGGAUAUUAAAGUUGCAAUCUUUAAAGAAAAUCAAAAAGUCAUCUCAAAAAGUAAACACCAGGCCCGCACUUCGAAAAUCGACCAAACUUACAAAAUUCUAACACCCAUUCAGAUACGAGUCCAAUCAUACAAAAAUUAUCCAAUUCCGACCUCAAAUCGAACUUCAAAUCCUCAAUUUAUAGUUUAGGAAAGUUUUCACAAAAUCCCUAAUUUCUCUAACAUAAAACACUAAUUAAAUGAUAAAAACAAUGAUGGAAUCAUGAAUAAUACACAAAUCUGAGUCAAAAACUCUUACCCCGUUCUAAUCCUUGAAAAUUGUCACGCCACGAACCUGGGGGGCAAGACCGGCACCCGGUACCUUACUCAAUCGAGUACCAAUAUAACCUAUCUUUUCUUAUCAUACUAUCAUAGAUAACUGAGCAACAGAGGCUGCCUUGAGAUAGGUAGAAUACAACAUGUAAUACCAACUUAUACAUAAGACAUAUGGACCUAUAAGACCAAAAUAACCACUCGUACACUGAACAUAGGCCGACAAGGCCAUACAAUCUUUUACGUACAUGACAUCUGUCUACAAGCCUCUAAUAAUACAUAAUUGUCAUAAAGGUAGGGACAGAGCCCCGCCAUACCAAACAAUACACAUCUAAAUCAUACUGACCAAACAAGCAACUCCGGAGCAAAUAGAGUGCACCAACACUUCCACUGAGCUGAUCGCCUACUUGGAGGACUCUCGACCUGUCUAUCGAGACCUUCGGGCAUUAAACGCAGCGUCCCCAGGAAAAAGGGACGUCAGUACAAAUAAUGUACCGAGUAUGUAAGGUAAUAUACUGAAAGCUGAAACUAAACCGAUAAUAUAAUAACUGAAAGUAACUGGGAGUCAAAGAUAAUCUAAUGAUAUGCUUACCUGCUGAUACUGACUCAACUCUCUCAAUAUAGAAAGUAAAAUAGUUGUUCGGCUCUAUAAGGGUCGGUAUAUAUACAACUUCUCUGCCAUAGUAGGCUCGCUCAUAGGCGCUCGGCCAUACUAGGCUUUGUAUCUUGGCGAACUNNNNNNNNNNNNNNNNNNNNNNNNNAAAUACUGUAAUACUGUAUAUAUAGGCUCUCUGCUCUCUUGACUGGAAGAAGACAAUACUUAAUUGAAUAUGAAGUCCUGAUAAGGAGAAUACUCUGAUUUAUGAAACUAGGAUAAUGUAUAUAAAUUCGGGAGUAUGAACUUCUCUUUAUGCCUCGUUAUCAAACACAUGUAAUUAUGAGAUCAUGCCAAAAUGAAGGAAGGGCUUAGCCUUAAGAUACCUGAACCGAUUCUCUUGACAAUUCCUCUAACACACGUCUUUUGCGAAAACACGUGACGGCGGAUCGAAGUAGGAAAAAAUCUGUAUGAUAUUCUUGAGAAAGAUUGUACCGUGCUCCCUUGGAAUUUGCAAACUCAUGCUGCCAUUACAUAAUAAUAUUUUCGUAUGAAUUAUUGAAGAAACUCAUGUUACUAUUGCAACCUUAUCUUUACUGAAGCUCUCUUUGAAUUGUAGAGAUUCAAAAAUGAGAUUAAGAGCUCUCUUUGGUCUUUUGGGUGUGGGCCCCACUUUAGGGAAUGAUUUGGCCACCAAACAUCCUUUAAUUUUUGCCACCUUAUUAAGUGAUUUAAGUGUCAUUAUUCAAGACCUCUUUGGCUGCCACAUUCCCAUAAUCUCACGUGACUUGCCCCCUAAUACUUAUCCAAGAUCUUACAUAAAUAAUUGUUCUCAAACUUUUAUUUAAUUUGUUAACUUCCCACUCAAAUCAAUUAUUAAUCAAAUAUCCACAUAAUUAAGAAUUAUCUCAAAUUACUUAAAAUACUAUUCACUUUUAACACACUGUAUACACCUUACUAUUAUGGUCAUGUGGUACCUUGUAUGGCACUAGUUCAUAAAUACCAGGUAUUUUAGCUCGGGCCGUAUUUUAUCCCGAAAUGUCAAACUUCGACGAAAAUUCAUUUUCUUCGAUUUGCUUACCUUCUCACCUUCACGAAUUUACUUAUCCCUUGUUUGAAAUAGCGUAAUACUUAUAAUCCCAAAAUAAUCUCAUUCCCGAGCUUACGUCGAUUAACUUACGAUGAAACUUCAACAUACGAAAAUGCAAGAUGUAACAUCUCAUUUCCGAGCUUCCAUUAAUUUACUUAUGGCGUACUUUCACGUACGAAAAUAUGGGGUGUAACAUCACUCCCCCCUUUGGAACAUUCGUCCUCGAAUGUUGACUGGUCCACUUAUCAUUAUCAUAACCUAUAGCUCUUAUGAAUACUUUAGUACUCCUCUUACCAUCUAGGCAACUGUGCUGUGAAUGAAUCCCAAAGGCCAGGGCAUUCCCCCCUUUUGGCCUCUUUCUCACACCACGACUCAUGAUCGGAAUCCUCCCAAUCUUGUAACUGUUGCUACCUUAUAUCAUGCAGCCUGUACGACUCUGACUUUGUAAGUGCGCCUAUGCGAUUUUUCUCUCCUUCUUUUUCCUCAAGCUUUUAGCCAAUAUUUAGGCUUCACUUUGUGUUCAUAUAUAAAAUUAUGUCAAGAUGUCCCUCUGGGCGUCAUUAGCUUUACUUCAUCUAAGUAGGCCAUACUAUACCAUAAUUCUUACUUCGAUUUAUCGUUACCGAGGUCUGCUACCAAACUCCAGGUUACUCUCGUUGCUUAUCCUAUAUGCAUAAAGCUAAGUCUUUUAAUGCUUCUUCAUUACUGUUCAUCUUAAGACUGAUGGCCUAAUCUCACCUCGUACUUUGCAGCUUUUACCCAUCCAUUGUUGAUUUACCUCAAUAUUGAUCUAUAAUCUUUCAUUGAUAACUUGAAACUUCUUACGUAAUAUAUUGCCACUAGGUCUUACGCUGCAUCGUGGAACUUUUGAAGUGAUUUUCCUGAUCCACCUGGGGGCGAUACUAUACUUUUAUAACCAUAUUUCAUAGCAUCCCAAUGUGAUUUUCAUCACGUGUGUAUUUUAAUCCUCUACAAUUCAUGAAAUUAUUACUCAAUCGAAGGCCCAAAUGCCAUCUUUCAUUUAUCACAAUUACACCCUCAUUCUACUACCAGGGCAGCAUUCCAUCUCUUCUAAAUGCUACUAGUCUUAGACUCCUUUGAGUUCACUCAGUCUAUACUGAGCUUUCUAUAACUUAGAGAAAGCAUUAGCUCUCUUGUUUUCAUGGGCUUAAUCCUGAGGACUUAUUCAUUCUCGUCACCUUUUCACUCGCCCUUUCUUAUCCUUACUUAUGCUUUCCUAAAAAAUUGUCGCUUUUCCAUACUUUAGCUUACGGCCUACACAUCUCUAUUUAUACUACUCACAACCUUCCUUUAACUUACUUGCACCAUAGAUUUCCUCGUGUUAUUCGGGAACAUCAAGCGAGACAUCACAUCGUCUCUAACUCUUCUUUACUCUUUUAAUUAGACCUUUUGAUACAUAGAAACCAUAGGCCGAAAAAUAUUCCACUGACGAUGUCGUUAUCAUUCCUGGAUACUGAGUCUCAGUACUUCUGGCCUUCUAUCUGAAGUGUGGACUAUUCACAACCUUCUGCAUUUGAGUAUCUUGUAUGUUGUUCACCUUUACCUUACUUACAUUAAAAUCUCUCCUUACAUCUUCUAUUUCUUUUAUGAUCUCCUUUCCACAUAGUAUAAUUCACAUCCAUGACUUGAAGCUCUAUUAUAAUACUUGCACCUCUAGUGCAUACACAAUCCGGUGGGAGCUUCAUACUUACUUCUUAUGAGGCUGGUACUCUUCUAACUGGCUUUCUCGUAGAGCCGUUAUGGAAUACGGUUGUUGUACUAUCUCUCUUGUACCCUUGAUAUUAAGGGUGAUUCUGUAAUGUUUUCAAUCACGAUUUCUAUAUUUUUUUGGAUCCAAUAAUGAGACUCCUGAUUUACUUGGUUGAUGUAACUCUUUAGUUUCCUCUUCCUUCUGAUCAACCUUUAUAUAGGCUUAAUCUAUCUUCCGAUUUAUGGCUCCUGAUAUUAAUUAUUACUUUAGCCUUUCAUGGGCGCUAUGGAAUAUCCAUGAUAUAAUCUUCUGACAAUUCAAUCCUUUGUCUAUGCCCUAGGCUCAAUUCCUUCUUUUAACUUAUACCGGAGUCUUCUACGGCUGUAUGAAUGUCAACAUAUAUGCUGCAUGGAUAUCACUCUGAAGUCUUAAGUGCAUAAUCUCUUUUGUUCCUUUUGAGCUUCCUUUAAACGUAAACUGUUACUUUUUCUGGUCUUUCUGCCCCUUUGUUGCGUGUAUACUUAGCUUAUAUUAUUUCUCACACAUGCCGGAAUUUUUGUGCAACUUACAUGGUCUCAAAUAUAACUUCUGAUUUUACUCCCCGUACAUUAACCACAGUAGGUGCCACUUUCUUAUGAAGUGCAUACAAUAUUGUUGUGAGACUGUUGUUACACGACCAUUUCCUCUUUAGGUCACUAUGCUUAGGUUGAGACUUUUUCCUUAUUUCCUCUGCUAGUCUUUUAUUGUAGUACUCCCUCUGACUCUUGUAAAGCUGCGAGCUUAUUACAUCGCAUUCCUGAUAGAAUUUUUGAUGUUAUUUCUUACUUGUAAUUAUCCUUACUUACCUUCAUGCCCUUGUGCUCGUAGGGUUGCUUCUGAGAUGAUAUUUUGAUUGUCUUCCCAGUCGCACUCUCUUUUAUCUCCGUAACCCUCAUACGGUAUCGUUACUACCCCAACUUCUAUCUUAAUAUUUCUCAAGGAUUACGAUGUCAUAACUGCGAGGUUGAAUUCACUAUAUUGGGUUUACUAUGUUUAUCUUGCAUGAUAUGUUGAUUUGUCUGUAUCCUCUUAUCUAGCCAUAGCUAGGCUCUUCCUAAAUCAACUACUAACUACUCGUUGGCCCAUUCUCAUAUCUAUAUUCCGCGUAAUCCCUCUUAGGUUAUUUUCUUUGUCUUAACUUACCUCUUGCACUAGCUCCUUAUGUCUCAAGUGUUUAUUCACACUUAUUUAUCAAUAACAUCCUAGGGGAAACCCUUACUGCCUCUCCUCGGUGUUGUAGUUGCAUUAUGUUCUGGAGUCGUAGCAUAUCUGUAGGAUUUGGAUAGGUGCAAUCUCAUUCCUUUCUCAUUUUUAUCGCUUUCUUCCUUUACCAUUCCAUAGUUACUAGAAACACUUACUUCCGACUUAAUGCCACAUUACUCCAUUCCCCCCCUUUAGGGGAGUACUAAGAUUUAGUGCUACGAUGAUCUACGUAUAGAUGUUUUGCCUCUUCAUUUUUGGCGUCUUUUCACAUAAUCGAUGACCCUUACUCACCUUGCGGUAAUCCUUUUAUACCGAGGAUAACAAAUUUCCUUACUCGCGAGGGUGACACUUAGUAUAACUGGCACAUACAGUCCCUUAAGCUUAACUUUUCUCACAUUGCUUGCUUUAAGGAAGCGUCUUCCUGAAAGACCAUUCUCUGAAUUUCUCAUGAUUCUUCUUCUGUUGUCCAUUCUAUUAUCGCCGGAGUGAAAUCUGAAAUUCUCAUGAUAUCAUCCAUUAUCACCUCACUCAGUCCCUAAUUCAUAUUUAGUUUAUCUUGUUCACCAGCCCAUACUGAUUUCUGUUAUUCUGGGGUCUAACUUUUCCUUCUAGUAGUAGCGUUGGAGUCAGGGACUUAUUUCUCAAAAUGAGAAUAUGACUUUAUGGUCUAUACUCUUUUGUUGUUUCCUGGCCUGACACCUCUCAUCUUUUCCUUCCCUUGACUAUAGACUAUGUAAUACUGUCAUUUCAUUUUUCUUUUCUACCGUUGUCAUCCAUGUAUCACAUCUUACUUAUAAUGCUUCAUUAACUCUCUUCUUAUUUUCUGCUACAUUUAUGUCUAUCACUUUAUUCUGAAAACUCAAACAAGAUAUUCUUUUGCUUUUGUCUCCCCUUGCUCCAUCCACUGGAUCUUCGGGUUGCCUAACAUUCUUUCUCUACUAGGGACGGGAGCCAUACUAAGGUAAUAUUUAUCCAUUCAAGAAUUUCAGUACCUAUCUUUGUAGUACUCAUAUCUAGCUCUACUAUUUUUGAGUGCACCAUCUGGGUGUCUCACAAGGAGAUCUAUUAGCAUAUCUACAAUAUCCUUCGGAAAUGUCAACUAACGCAAACAAUCCAUCCAUAAUUUUGGGUUACUCUAACCCCAGUCGGAUCCUGAUAUUCCGUCCUUCUCUUAAACCAUAUUUGUUAGCUCCCAUAGGGCAUAACUUAGAUCGGUGUGGCCAAUUGUAUAUACCUCUGUUACUGUUGAAGGUAACUCAUAAUGCUUAUAUCUCUCUUCCUGAAUGGUAAAUAAUGAUAAUCUUCACUAACUGGGUACCUCGUACCCUUCUUCAUUUUGCUUCUUUUACUUGUUGAAAUUUGUAUCUAUCUUCUGAAUCUCUCAUUGCCUUUCACCAUAGGGGUGGAUAAAUAUUCUUGCCUUAAGGCUCCUUAUCAAGAGGCUUACACGUCUUAGUACACACAUAAUAUGCUGAAAACCUUACAUUUAUCCAUCAUAAGCAUCAUGCAAAAUCGAGUUCCUUUGACUCAACUCUUUCACAUCCACAUACAAUCUCUUACCAACCGUCUUUCUAGAUGUAGGCAUCAUCGUAUUAUGAAUAAGAUAGAGUUUAGGAAAUUGAGUUCCUACAACUGAGCUCUACCACACGAUCUAGAGUAAGAAAAAAGAGUGACAGUCCUAAAUGCCAUGUAGCCUCCUGCUUAUAAGUGUGGUGCAUAACACACCCAUAAACAAGACUCUACUAGACACGACUUGUAGACUCCCUAGGACAGAACUGCUCUGAUACCACUUCUGUCACGCCCCGAACCUGGGGGCGAGACCGGCACCCGGUACCUUACUCAACUGAGUACCAACAUAAUGUAUCUUUUCGUAUCAUACUAUCAUUGAUAACUGAGCCGGAGAGGCUACUUUGAGAUAGGUAGAAUACAACAUGUAAUACCAAUUUAUACAUAAGACAUAUAGGCCUAUAAGACCAAAAUAAUCACUCGUACACUGAACAUUGGCCGACAAGGCCACACAAUCUUUUACGUACAUGACAUCUGUCUACAAGCCUCUAAUAAUACAUAAUUGUCAUAAAGGUAGAUACAGAGCCCCGCUAUACCAAACAAUAUAUAUUUAAAUCAUACUGACCAAGCAAGCAACUCCGGAGCAAAUGGAGUGCACCAACAUCUUCCGCUGAGCUGAUCUCCUAAUUGGAGGACUCUCUACCUGUCUAUCGAGACCUGCGGGCAUGAAAUACAGCGUCCCCAGGCAAAAAGGGAUGUCAAUACAAAUAAUAUACCGAGUAUGUAAGGCAAUAUACUGAAAGCUGAAACUGAACUGAUAAUAUAAUAAUUGAAUGUAACUGGGAGUCAAAGAUUAUAUGAUGAUAUGCUUACCUGCUGAUACUGACUCAACUCUCUCAAUACAGUAAGUAAAAUAGUUGUCCGGCCCUAUAAGGCUCGGUAUAUAUAUAACUGCUCUGCCAUAGUAGGCUCGCUUAUAGGCGCUCGGCCAUACUAGGCUCUGUAUCUCGGCCAACUGGGCUCGCUCAUAGGCGCUCAGCCACAGUAGGCUCAGUAUAUAACUUACCAUCUGAUCAGAGGUUGCCCAAUAGGGGCCUGUCCAUCGAUUAUAGCUCGUUGGUAAUGAAAAUACUGUAAUACUGUAUAUAUAAGCUCUCUGCUCUCUUGACUGGAAGAAGACAAUACUCAGUUGAAUAUGAAGUCCCCUGAUAAGGAGAAUAUUCUAAAUUAUGGAAACUAGGGGAUAAUGGUAAUAUAAANNNNNNNNNNNNNNNNNNNNNNNNNCUUACCAUCUGAUCAGAGGUUGCCCAAUAGGGGCCUGUCCAUCGAUUAUAGCUCGUUAGGUAAUGAAAAUACUGUAAUACUGUAUAUAUAAGCUCUCUGCUCUCUUGACUGGAAGAAGACAAUACUCAGUUGAAUAUGAAGUCCUGAUAAGGAGAAUAUUCUAAAUUAUGAAACUAGGAUAAUGUAUAUAAAUUCGGGAGUAUGAACUUCUCUUUAUGCCUCGUUAUCAAACACAUGUAAUUAUGAGAUCAUGCCAAAAUGAAGGAAGGGCUUAGCCUUAAGAUACCUGAACCGAUUCUCUUGACAAUUCCUCUAACACACGUCUUUUUUGAAAAUACGUGACGACAGAUCGAAGUAGGGAAAUAUCUGUAUGAUAUUCUUGAGAAAGAUUGUACUAUGCUCCCUUAAAAUUUGCAAACUCACGAUGCCAUUACAUAAUAACAUCUUUGUAUGAAUUAUUGAAGUAAAUCACGUUACUAUUGCAACCUUAUCUUUUCUGAAGCUCUCUUUGAAUUGUAGAGAUUCAAAAAUGAGAUUAAGAUCUCUCUUUGGUCUUUUGGGUGUGGGCCCCACUUUAGGGAAUGAUUUGGCCACCAAACAACCUUCAAUUUUUGCCACCUUAUUAAGUGAUUUAAGAGUCAUUAUUCAAGACCUCUUUGGCUGCCACAUUCCCAUAAUCUCACGUGACUUUCCCCCUAAUACUUAUCCAAUAUCUUACAUAAAUAAUUAUCCUCAAACUUUUAAUUAAUUUGUUAACUUUUCACUCAAAUCAAUAAUUAACCAAAUAUCCACAUAAUUAAGAAUUAUCUCAAAUUACUUAAAAUACUACUCACUUUUAACACACCGUGUAUACCUUACUAUUAUGGUCAUGUGGUACCUUGUAUGACACUAGUCCAUAAAUACCGGGUAUUUUACCUUGGGCCGUAUUUAUUCCCGAAAUGUCGAACUUCGACGAAAAUCCAUUUUCUUCGAUUUACUUACCCUUUCACCUUCACGAAUUUACUUAUCCCUUAUUUGAAAUAGCGUAAUACUUAUAAUCCCAAAAUAAUCUCAUUACUGAGCUUACGUCGAUUAACUUACGACGAAACUUCAACAUACAAAAAUGCGGGAUGUAACAUCUCAUUUCCAAGCUUCCAUCAAUUUACUUAUGGCGUACUUUCAUGUACGAAAACAUGGGGUGUAACAAAAAUCCCCUCCAAAAUCUCCCAAAACCGAGCUCUCAAACUCAAAAUAUGGAAAAGGAAAUAAAACCCUUGAUCUCCACUAUUUCUUCCCAGGCUUUUCGCACCUGUGAAUUAUUUGGUCGCUUCUGCGAUUCCGCAUCUACGAAAACUAUAUUGUAGAUGCGGCCUCAACUAAGGCUUAGGAAAUAUUUCUUAUGCGAAAAAAGGGCGCACCUGCGCUUUCGCUUUUGCGGACCCCAACUCGCUUCUGCACAUCCGCUUCUGCAAAAUAACACUGCACUUGCGAUCCAUCAAUACUCACCAGCAAUCCGCUUCUGCGGACAACAACCGCAUCUGCGGUCAUGCAUGUGCACGCAUCUAUCCGCACCUGCAGACCCAGUCCACUAAGUCCAAACUCGCAUCUGCAGCUCAUAGGCCAUUUUUGCGGUAGCGCACCUGCAGCCAUGCCAUCGCAGGUGUGAUUGCACAAGACUCCAGCGCUCUUCAGGCAUUCCUUUAAAGUGCUAAAAGGUCCAAACUCAACCUGAAUCAUACCCGGGGGCCCCAGAACCCCGCCAUAACAUACCAUCAAGUCACAAAAUACGUAACGAACCUACUCGAGGCCUAAAAUCACAUUAAACAAUAUCAAACCUAUGAAUCACACCCCAUUUUAAGCCUAUUGAAUAAAUGGAUGUUCAACUUGAAAAAUAAAUGUUGAUUCAUACCAAACCAAUUCCGAAUGAGCUCAAAUUUUGCAUGCAAGUCUCAAAUGACACAACGGACCUAUACCAACUUCCGAAAUCACAAUCCAAGACCGAUAUCAAUAAAGUAAACUCUCGGCCAAACCUACCAACCUUCCAAGCCUUCAACUUUUUAACUUUUGCCAAAACGCCUCAAGACAACCUACGAACCUCCAAAUUAAUAUCUGGACAUACGCAUAAGUUUACAAUCACCAUACAAAACUAUUUGAACCAUCAAAUUUCCAUUCCAGAGUUAUUUACACAAAAGUCAAACUCCAGUAAACUCUUUCAAGUUAUGCUUCCAACUUUGGGACUAAGUGUCCCAAUUCACUCCGAAACUCACUCGAAACCAAACCAAACACCACAUCAAGUCAAUUGAACUUAGAGGAGGCAAUAGAUAGGAGAACGUGGCUAAAAAUACUCAAAACGACUGGCCGGAUCAUUACAGAAGGUUGCCUACGUACCUCACAUCCGAUGAGGAUCAAACCCGCGUAGUUCAGUAUGAUUUCAAAAUAGAGGGGAAAUGGCAUGUUGAAAAUUUUGGCUCAUUUUGUAACAACCUCCUAAACAUUUGGCUGAGUUUUAGAAUUUUCUUUUUUUUUUCUUUCAAAUACCAGGAUUUUCAGGAAUCGGGUAAAUUUCUCUCUCCUAUAUUCUCUCUCUCUCUCUCUCCCUCCUUGAUUUUUGUUCCCUAUUCUAGGAGGCGGUCAACAUGCAAACCAGAUCAAAUAAAUGCACAAGUGGCAUGUAAGAAUGCAUAAGGUUAGUAUUUUAUUUUUGAGUACACCUCUCCUAGAUGGACCCAACCCAUGUGUUGAGUCCCCUAUUUCAAAUGCACGUGAUGCAAACAUGCGUACCUACUAGGGAUACAGAAUGAGGCUUUAUUCUUCUAGGUUUAAACCUAGUAAGGUUUGGAGUUUUAGACCUGGCUUACCCGAGAGGACAACUCAAGCCGGAGGGGGGGAGGGGGGGGGGGGUAGUGUAUUGAGAAUAUAGAAGCUUCACCGGCUUUACAAAGAGUAUGAUCCUCAUUCUAAAAUUAGGGGUAUGACACUUUAACAGAAAUGAUAUACGCGUACAUGCGCUCCCAGAAGAUUUAGAGGACUCAGAAUGUCACGACCCAAAAUCCACGAUAGGUCGUGAUGGCACCUAACGCCGCUGUUAAGCAAGCCAACGGUGAUUGAUCAAUUUAAUUACUCAUUUUAUUACCUUUGAAAUCAUAAAUUUUAAUAAGGAAGGAAAUUUACACUUUUAAAUCCACGGGAACGUACAAAAUUUGUAGUUUAUGAGAGAAAUAAAAGGCGAUGAUAAUAUACAGGACCGUAAGCAUCAACUAGUAUAUCCUAAAAUCCGGUGUCAUAAGUGCAUGGGCAUUCACUAAGGAGUACAAUAAUAAUACAAUAUCUUUCUAGAAUGUAAAUGAGACAUGGUAAAAAAAAUAGUACGAUGGAGACUCUGUGGACUGCGAUACGUGGCAUGGAAUGCAGCUCACAUAUAGUCUCCUAAACAGCUGCGCUUACGCGCCACAAUGAUCACAAAAUGAACCUAUCAGAUCCUGCACAUUUAGUGUAGAAGUGCAGCAUGAGUACGUAAAUCAACGCGUACCCAGUAAAUAUCUAGCCUAACCCCGUAGAAGUAGUGACGAGGGGUCGACAUCAACACUUACUAGUGGUCCAAUAGAUCAAUAUGGUAAAUCGUAAACAGAUAAGAAGCACAACAAUAGUAGUGAGGUAAAUCUGUAACUAACACAAUCUUCCAAAAUUUCUUUUAACGAUAUCAAUUUCUCAAUCUCGUAUUUUAUCUCAACAGAUCGAAAAUAUCAAGUGCCAAUAUCAAAAGGAUAAGUAAAUACCAUAUAAAGUGUCGGGCAUCAGUGGAAGGAUAAUCUCGUGAACAAUCUUACUGCUAGCGAUAUAACGCACGAUUAUGCCGAGGUCGUACGACCCGAUACCAUCGUUAUGUGUACACUACCGAGGGUCGAGCAGCACGAUCCAUAGAUGCAUCUACUAUAAUACCGAGGUUAACGAACCACUCCCAUAAGAGUAAGAUACAUGAUCCUGCCAAGGCGUUCGGUCCGCUCCACAAGAAAGGAAAGAACCUUUUGAAUUACGAGGCACGUGCUUACGAUACAGUAUAUGAAUACUAUGUGAGUAUAACCAUUGCCGAUUCUCAAAUAACUUGCCAAUACCUCAAGGUGAUAACCUCGGCCUAAUGUAUAUGUAAUUUCUAAAUCAAGUUCAAUUAUAAUUUCAAUUAAUUAAGCCAGCAGAAUGAGUUCAAAUAAUUCAAAUAUUACAUGGUAAAGUCCUAAGUAUACUCGAACAUAAACAUGCUUUAGCCACGUACGGACUCUCGUAACCUCGUGCGUACGUCGCACCCACAAAAAGUAGCACAUAAUAAUUACAUCACCUAGGGGAUAGUUUUUCCCUCACAAGGUUAGACAAGAGACUUACAUUGCUCCGAAGUUCCAUAACUGACUCCAACGCCUCUCUAACACCUCAACUCCAAGCCAAACGAUCCGAAACUACUCAAACAAUAUGCAAUUCAAUCAAAAUAUACUCAAAUGCAUAUAAUAAACAAUUCCCAACUCCGCUAGAAAAGUCAAUAAAGUCAACCAUCAGGCCCACGUACCUAGAUUUCGAAAUUGUUUGAAGAUAAAUAUUACCCAUAACACCACGAACUCAAAUAUAUAAUUUAUUCCUAAUUCCAUGUCCAAUUUCGUAUUAUGUUUUGGGACUGGUUGGUGUGUUUUGGGACUGGUGUUGUGCAUCGCGAUCACGAAGAAGAAAUUUGGGGCUGCUCGUUUGUGCUACAUGAUCGCGACUUGGGAACCGCGAUCGCAGAGAAGGGAAUGAUUGACCAGGGAUUUUGCCUUACGCGAACGCGGCUUUUGGUUCGAGAAGAAGGGUGUCGUAACACUUUUUAUGUUCAGCUCACAAAAUAUCACGGUAAAGAGCGAUAUUUAGCACAUUAGGCUCACACAUAUAAAAUCAGACAAUAAACAAGAAAGCCAAGUAUAGAGUCAUCUAAGCUCGAAUUCUGAACCCUGAACCAGAAGUUCUGGGUUCAUGUCCCCAGCAGAGUCACCAAAAUUGUCACACCUCCUUUUUUUCGAAAGGAGUUUUUCCACUUUAAGUGAUAUUAUUGAAAAGGGAUUAUUUAAUUUAAUUUUAAGAGUCGUCACUUGAAAUUAUUUAUUACGGUGUUCCAAGCCACCAAUUAUUUUAUAUUCCAUAUCAAGGUAAGUUUGACUCUGUUUAAGUUUGCGAAACACAGAAGACCGUGUAAUGAAUUAUAUUAAUCCGAGAGAAGGUGUGAGGCACUCCUGGAUUUUGUGAUAUUAACAAGGUCGCUUUAUUUAUUUCAACACGUUUGAGAUUGCUUGUGGAGUCCAAGAAUUAUAGAAUUUCAUUCGUGAAUUCGCGAACUUUGAAACACUAAGGGCCUCCUUCAUAACAAAUACGAGAAAAGUUGAGAAAAUAGAUUUGGUAGAUUAACAACUUAUCUGUAUUAAUAAAUGAAUCCUCAUUAGUUAAUUAGUAGUGGCUUGUAGUUAAACUAUAUCUCUUCUUUUCAAUUAUUUAAUUCUACAUGGAUUGUUAUUGUGAAGGUAACAUUAUGGGCUAAAUUUAUUGAGUACCCAGAUUGGACAUCCAAUAAGUCACUUGUGAGUACAAAUGGGCUUCGGAUUAAAGCCCAAGGCAUCCUUUGAGCCUUUUGAGAACUAGGCCAUGAUGUAGACCUCUAAAUGGACAUGGUACUGAAAUUAGCUAGGAGUUCAGAGUCCACAUGACUCCAAUCUGAUUCUGCCACUUUGCUACGCCAGUUACUCUGGCCAAUGGCCUCUGGGAACGAAAGCCUAGUGAUUUACAACUCACAAUUUCAUACACCAUUGCAAAAAAUGAAAUAUGUAUGAACUAAUCUAAGCAUGAGUACAUGUUCAUCCGGAUUUAAAAUUACAACACCAAUUCACUACAUCAGAAAUCAUGACUUGAAUUUAUAAUAACAAACACUUUUAUGAACUAACAUCCUACAUUUCUGGAAUUAAACAAUGUCAUAACAAAUAAGGUUUCAGAUAAUUAAUUCAUAUCUCCUAAUGCCUUUGACUCGUACAAGUUUAGACUCUUCAUUCAACCUUCAAACUCAUGUGCUGAAAAACUUCAGUGGCUACCAAACUCAAACCCGAUCUCUAACAAAUUUACUAAGUGUUCACAAUCACCAAUAACAUGAAGAUAUUAGUUCUCAAAUUGCUAAAAUGUAUCAUACUAAGCUAAACAGAUAUCAAUCUGUUACAAUUAGCGGCAAAUUUCCAUUUUUACUCAAACACAAAAAUAUUAUCACAAAACAGACUAGAUUUGACUAUGUAAAACAUCUUAUCUAAAAACAUAAAUCGUGCGAAGAGCAAUAAUGGAUCUGGACACACAUAGAUCUAUGAAGAACCAACAUGAUUUCAAUUUAUUUGAUUUCAAUUUGAGGAAUUACAAACUACUUAAGCGUCAGCAACAUGAUUCAAGGAAUGCAUUUCAAUUUCAAUACCAAAACAUGCCAUAUCAUCAUAAAACUAAAUACAUUCAGAGAUCUAUAAGAAGCAGUAGGUAAAUAACCUUCAAAACUGAAAUACGAGAGAGAUUUAGGACCAAAUAAAGGUCAUAAAAUUAUAAGAGGGAGCUCAGCUACGAAACCACAUAAUCAACAGCGAAUCAAUAACAAUUAAUAAAGUAUUUAAGAUGGAAUAACUCAUUUGGAACCCAGCAAGUAAGGAAUAAUCGAUCAUAGGUGAAAACACUCUUCAAAUCCUUUUGAAAUCCUAAGUUUUCUUUUAUUUUUGGAGUCUUUGAUCUUAGAUCUCUUUUUUGAAUUUUUUAACUUUCGAAAUUUUUGGUUUUCAGUUGUUUUUGAAUACCGCUGAAUUUUCAGAGUGAAAUGGGUGUGCGCGCGAAUUUUUCAGACUGUGAAUACAUGCCCAAAUUGUGAGGAGGAAUGCCUUAUUUAUAGAUUAUUAGUUAGGUCUCUUUUGAACUUUUUCUUUUUGUUUUACCCCUCUUAUUUCAAGUUUUUACUCCGACAGUCCCUAAUAGCACACCCUUCUACAUCUUCUUUGCAAAUUAAUCAUUUUCCACACCUUCCUAGAAGUUUCCUAAAAGAUUCUCUAAGGGUGAAAUUCCUUAAUUAUCCUUCAAGUAUUUACCAAUUUUCAGAAAUUAGCUAUCUUUUAACACAAUUACUAGUCUUAUUUUACUACAUAUUUCACUAAAUUUCUGGCAGUGAGCCUUGGGCCAAAAGAAUAAUAGGCCAUGUCGACCUGGGCUCAAAGCCCACUGGUCUUCUAUAUUUUUGAUAAGUCUGUUAAUGAUCUAGCCUAAUUUCUUUUAAAUUUGAACCAAACUAACUAAGACAGUAUUUAAACACUAACAAAAUAUAUGAAAAAUUAACAACAAAAAUCGAAAAUAAGCUAACUCAUAAACUAAUUAGCUAACACAUAAUCGAACUAACAGAAGAAUACUCUUAACUUCUAAUGCUAUUUGAUCAAUAAUUAAAACAUGCGAUUAUUCACCUAUGAAUCAAAACAAAUGACAACACAUAAAAAAGAAAAACGUAGAAGAAUAGGAGGGAAGGGUAUACCUAAUGGAUCAAACGGGCUGUCAAGAGGAAAUUCCGACGAGCCAGAGGAUUGCUACACAAGCUCCAACCGAAAUUUGUCACGCUGGCCAAUGCUAUAUGUAGAAAUAGGUCCUGCAUGCUGGAGGUGAAGAACGAAGAAGCUUUGAGAGGACUGGACGGUCAACUAGAAUUUGACCGGGACCCGAUGGCCAUGAAAUGAGACGAAACCACCACCAAUCGCCAGUACUCAUCAAGAGAUGUCGAUUGGUGUGAAUUUUAACCUCAGACGGGGUAAGAAUUGAAGAGGAAUCAAGAAAGGGGCAGUUUCAAUUUUUCUUAAAUUCUCAGAUCCACUAAUCAUGGAGUUUGGGUGGAUUUUUGAGGAAAUGGUUGACAGAUUAGGGAUGAGGAGGAGUGAGAAGUAUCUGGUGAAAAUUUUGGGCCACCACCGUGAGGCAAUUUUUGGCGGCGGUCAGACGAUGGUCCACGGUGGUAUGAAGGCGGAGGGGGGACAACGGGCGACGAAAGCAAUUUUCGGCCGCCCAAGAGAGAUGAGAGAGAACGGGGAUUAGGGGUGGUUUAUAAAUAUUAAAUUUUUAUCAAUCGUUUUUAUUAAAAAGGGAAAAAC